rnacentral:rRNA from 1 species
AUACGGAAGGUCCGGGCGUUAUCCGGAUUUAUUGGGUUUAAAGGGAGCGCAGGCGGAGAUGCAAGCGUGACGUCAAAUUUCGGGGCUCAACCCCGUCUCGCGUCGCGAACUGCGUCCCUUGGUUGCGGGAAGGGGAGGCGGAACUCGUGGUGGAGCGGUGAAAUGCAUAGAUAUCACGAAGAACUCCGAUCGCGAAGGCAGCCUUCCGGCCCGUCAACGACGCUCAUGCUCGAAGGUGCGGGUAUCAAACAGGAUUAGAUACCCUGGUAGUCCGCACAGUAAACGAUGGACACCCGCGGUUUGGCCUGUAUGGCUGAGCCGCCAAGCGAAGGCGUUAAGUGUCCCACCUGGGGAGUACGCCGGCAACGGUGAAACUCAAAGGAAUUGACGGGG